CUGACAUGCAGCAGCUGCUGCGAUGAGCCCCAGCGAACUGGAAGGGGGAAAAGUAAGAGGGUGGGUUUCUGUUUCUCACCAUUCUUCUCCCUCAGGACCUUAACUCCUGAUCGCCAUUGCCUGGUGCAGGGCUGCAGACCGUUCUCUCUGCCCUCCGCACUGAAACAGGGUAGAGGUUGGGAGCUGUCCUGGCACCCCAAGUCCACAUGGGAAGGGAGCAGCUCAGUGCCUGGGGCCUUCCUUCAGAACCUCUCCAAGGCCUGCUGGCUUGAGAAUGGGACCUUGUAGACAGGAACAUGGCCUGAGGUCAGUGUGGCUCUCAGACAGACUCAUUUCAGUCCUUUGACAACUAGAUUCCCCCUUUCACUCAGAGAUCAGCCCUCUUGCCCUGGAUGCCAUAGAGGGAGGUGGAAAAGAAAAAAUAAAUCAGCAGCCUGAUCCUCCAAGACCAGCCAGUGGUCAGACUUUGGUUAGUCUGGGGUGGGGGUGGGGGUUGGCAAAUUUGUUUUCCACCCCCUGCCCCAUGGGGAAAGGUCUGGAAAUCCAAAGGCUUCUUUUACAGAGGGCAAGAAGCUGUCAGGCGAAUGCACCCUGGUCAAGCAUGGGAGAACACGGGGGCAUCCUUUGGCCUGUUUUAUAGACGAGGAAACUGAGACUUGGGAAGGUCAAAGGGCCUGGGUGAGCCAAGGAUGGGGCAGAGAGCAGCAGCCAUGUCUCCUGGUGCCCGUGCUUUUUCUCCCAUAUGGAUCCCCGGUCUGGGAAUUCAACAUAUGAUUUAUUUUCUUUUGUUUGUUUAUUUUAUUUUAACCACUUUAUUGAGGUAUGAUUGAUAUACAAAAAGCUACACAUAUUUAAUGUUGAGAGUGUGAACUGUACAACCACUUUGGAGAACAGUAGGGCAUUCAGUGUAGUGGAAGAUGCACAUGCCUAGGACCCAGAAAUUUCUCUAAGUACAUACUAACUCAUGCACGCAUGCUUAGGAAUGUUCAGAACAACCUGUUCACAAUUGCCCUAAACUGGAUACAACCCAAUCAGCCAUCAACAUUAGAACAGAUAAAUAAAGUAGCCAUAUAUAGAUUCUAGGUAGAUGGAUAACUCUUCACA
rnacentral:lncRNA from 1 species